UACAGAGGUCCCAAGCGUUGUUCGGAUUCACUGGGCGUAAAGGGUGCGUAGGUGGUCGGGUAAGUCUGAUGUGAAAUCUCCGAGCUUAACUCGGAAAUAGCAUUGGAUACUAUUCGGCUGGAGGUUUGGAGGGGGGACUGGAAUUCUCGGUGUAGCAGUGAAAUGCGUAGAUAUCGAGAGGAACACCAGUGGCGAAGGCGAGUCCCUGGACAACACCUGACACUGAGGCACGAAAGCUAGGGGAGCAAACAGG
rnacentral:rRNA from 1 species